ACUGAACGCUGGCGGCAUGCCUUACACAUGCAAGUCGAACGGCAGCGCGGGCUUCGGCCUGGCGGCGAGUGGCGAACGGGUGAGUAAUAUAUCGGAACGUACCCAAGAGUGGGGGAUAACGUAGCGAAAGUUACGCUAAUACCGCAUACGAUCUAAGGAUGAAAGCAGGGGAUCGCAAGACCUUGUGCUCCUGGAGCGGCCGAUAUCUGAUUAGCUAGUUGGUGGGGUAAAGGCCCACCAAGGCAUCGAUCAGUAGCUGGUCUGAGAGGACGACCAGCCACACUGGAACUGAGACACGGUCCAGACUCCUACGGGAGGCAGCAGUGGGGAAUUUUGGACGAUGGGGGCAACCCCGAUCCAGCAAUGCCGCGUGAGUGAAGAAGGCCCUCGGGUUGUAAAGCUCUUUUGUCAGGGAAGAAAAGAUUCGGGCUAAUAUCCCGGGUUCAUGACGGUACCUGAAGAAUAAGCACCGGCUAACUACGUGCCAGCAGCCGCGGUAAGAC
rnacentral:rRNA from 1 species